rnacentral:snoRNA from 1 species
UGGGUGUGCUCAGAGCAGGUGGCCUGAAGAAUGGCUUCUCUGUUUACAGCACACCCAACAGGAAUUUAGGGUCCCUGUGACAGGGGCACAGCACUGGUGACUUCCCUGUGAGCAAAGGUCCCACACAU